AUUGAACGCUGGCGGCAUGCCUUACACAUGCAAGUCGAACGGCAGCACGGGAGCAAUCCUGGUGGCGAGUGGCGAACGGGUGAGUAAUAUAUCGGAACGUGCCCGGUCGUGGGGAUAACGUAGCGAAAGCUACGCUAAUACCGCAUACGAUCUACGGAUGAAAGCGGGGGAUCGCAAGACCUCGCGCGAUUGGAGCGGCCGAUAUCAGAUUAGGUAGUUGGUGAGGUAAAGGCUCACCAAGCCGACGAUCUGUAGCUGGUCUGAGAGGACGACCAGCCACACUGGGACUGAGACACGGCCCAGGACUCCUACGGGAGGCAGCAGUGGGGAAUAUUGGACAAUGGGCGAAAGCCUGAUUCAGCAAUGCCGCGUGAGUGAUGAAGGCCUCGGUUGUAAG
rnacentral:rRNA from 1 species